UACGUAGGGGGCAAGCGUUGUCCGGAAUCAUUGGGCGUAAAGCGCGUGUAGGCGGCCCGAUAAGUCCGCUGUGAAAGUCCAGGGCUCAACCCUGGGAUGCCGGUGGAUACUGUCGGGCUCGAGUCCGGAAGAGGAGUGUGGAAUUCCUGGUAUAGCGGUGAAAUGCGCAGAUAUCAGGAGGAACACCAAUGGCGAAGGCAGCACUCUGGGACGUGACUGACGCUGAGACGCGAAAGCGUGGGGAGCAAACAGG
rnacentral:rRNA from 1 species